GUGCUCGCUUUGGCAGCACAUAUACUAAGAUUAGAAUGAUACAGAGAAGAUUAGCAUGGCUGCUUUGCAAGGACAACACUCAAAGAAGUGGAUCACACACUU